ensembl:rRNA 5S_rRNA 5S ribosomal RNA
GUCCACGGCCAUACCAACCUGAACGCGCCUGAUCUUGUCCGAUCUCGUGAAGCUAAGCAGGGUCGGCCCAGUUAGUACUUGGAUGGGAUUCCACCUGGGAAUACCGGGUGCUGUAGGGA